UCAAGCUACAAAGAGCACAAGGGGAAUGCCUUGGCACCGAGAGCCGAAGAAGGACGUGACUAACUGCGAUAAGCUGCGGGGAGCCGUAAGUAGGCUUUGAUCCGCAGAUUUCCGAAUGGAGCAAUCCGGCAAGAGGAAAGUCUUGUCAUCAUAUACUGAAUACAUAGGUAUAUGAGGGGAACCGCCUGAACUGAAACAUCUAAGUAGGGCGAGGAAGAGAAAUCAACUGAGAUUCCGUAAGUAGUGGCGAGCGAACGCGGAAGAGGCCAAACCGAGAGUAGUAAUACUUUCGGGGUUCGGACAGAAUACGGUAUUGUAAAGGUUUAGUGGAAUGGAAUGGGAAGUCCAACCGAAGAAGGUGAGAGUCCUGUACACGAAAAGCCUGAACAGCCAUCUGUAUCCAGAGUACCGCCGGACACGUGAAACCCGGUGGGAAUACGGGGGGACCAUCCUCCAAGCCUAAAUACUACUCGGUGACCGAUAGUGAAGAAGUACUGUGAAGGAAAGGUGAAAAGUACCCCUGACGGGGAGUGAAAAAGAACCUGAAACCUUGUGUUUACAAGCACCGAAAGCUCAUCAAAGAGCGAUCGGGUACCUUUUGUAGAAUGGUCCGGCGAGUGAAUGUAACCGGCGAGGUUAAGCACUUAAGGUGUGAAGCCGCAGCGAGAGCAAGUCUGAAUAGGGCGUAUGAAGUCGGUUGUAUUCGACCCGAAACCGGGUGACCUACCCAUGGUCAGGUUGAAGUAAAGGUAAAACUUUAUGGAGGACCGAACCGACUCCCGUUGAAAUGGUAGCGGAUGAACUGUGGGUAGCGGAGAAAUUCCAAUCGAACCCGGAGAUAGCUGGUUCUCUCCGAAAUAGCUUUAGGGCUAGCCUUGAAAUAGAUUACCGGAGGUAAAGCACUGAAUUGGCUAGGGGCCGAGAGGUUACUGAACCUUAUCAAACUAAGAAUGCCGGAUAAUCGUUUUUCAGGAGUCAGACAGUGGGAGAUAAGUUUCAUUGUCAAAAGGGAAACAGCCCAGACCCACAGCUAAGGUCCCCAAGUAUAGUUAAGUGGAAAAGGAUGUGGAAUUGCACAGACAACCAGGAUGUUGGCUUAGAAGCAGCCACUCAUUAAAAGAGUGCGUAAUAGCUCACUGGUCGAGUGACUCUGCGCCGAAAAUUUAACGGGGCUAAACUAUACACCGAAGCUUGGGAUACAUCUAAUGUAUGGUAGGAGAGCGUUCUGUAUGGGGAGAAGUCGUAGCGAAAGCGGCGGUGGACUAUACAGAAGUGAGAAUGCCGGAAUAAGUAGCGAGAAUUAAGUGAGAAUCUUAAUGGCCGAAAGUCUAAGGUUUUUGGAGGAAGGUUCGUCCGCUCCAAGUAAGUCGGGAGCUAAGGUCAGGCCGAAAGGCGUAGCCGAUGCACAUACGGUUGAUAUUCCGUAACCAUCUGUAAUUUAAGCAAAGGGACACUUCAAAAGGGUGUGACCCGGGCGUUGGUUGACCCGGGCGUAAGGGACCGAAAUUAGAGUAGGGAAGCACACUUGGCUGAAGGCGAGAAAAGCUUUGCGUAUAGAAGCAGAUGCCCGUACCGCAAACCGACACAGGUGGACAGGAAGAGAAUUCUAAGGCCAGCGGGAGAAGGGUAGUUAAGGAACUCGGCAAAUUGACUCCGUAACUUCGGAAUAAGGAGUGCUCGAAAGAGCCGCAGAGAAUAGGCCCAGGCGACUGUUUAGCAAAAACACAGGUCUCUGCCAAAUCGAAAGAUGAAGUAUAGGGGCUGACACCUGCCCGGUGCCGGAAGGUUAAGAGGAGGAGUGAGAGCUCCGAAUUGAAGCCCCGGUAAACGGCGGCCGUAACUAUAACGGUCCUAAGGUAGCGAAAUUCCUUGUCGGGUAAGUUCCG
rnacentral:rRNA from 1 species